rnacentral:rRNA from 1 species
GACGAACGCUGGCGGCGUGCCUAAUACAUGCAAGUUGAACGGAAAGGCCCUGCUCUUGCGGGGCGCUCGAUUGGCGCACGGGUGAGUAACACGUGAGUAUCCUGUCCCUGACUUUCUGAUAACUCCAGGAAACUGGGGCUAUUACCGGAUAUGAGCUCCUGCUGCAUGUGGGGGGUUGGAAAGUUUCGGCGGUUGGGGAUGUUCUCGAGGGUUAUCAGCUUGUUGGUGGGGUAGGGGCUUACCAAGGUUGUGACGGGUAGCCGGCCUGAGAGGGUGACCGGCCACAAUGGGACUGAGAUACGGAGCAGAAUCCUACGGUAGGCAGCAGUCGAGAGUAUGACACAAUGGGCGGGAGCCUGAUACAGCAACGCCGCGUGCGGGAUGACGGCCUUCGAGUUAUAAACCGCUUUCGCCUGUGACGAGGCGUGAGUGACGGUAAUGAGUAAAGAAGCACCGGCUAACUACGUG